UACAGAGGGGGCAAGCGUUGUUCGGAAUUACUGGGCGUAAAGGGCGCGUAGGCGGCUUGAUAAGUCAAAGGUGAAAUCCCUCGGCUCAACUGAGGAACUGCCUUUGAAACUGUCUGGCUUGAGGCCGGGAGGGGGUAGCGGAAUUCCCAGUGUAGCGGUGAAAUGCGUAGAUACUGGGAGGAACACCGGUGGCGAAGGCGGCUACCUGGACCGGUUCUGACGCUGAUGCGCGAAAGCGUGGGUAGCAAACAGG
rnacentral:rRNA from 1 species